GGGGUGGCCGUCCGGCGGGAGGGAGCCCUGAGCCGAGCCCCCGGCCGGGGCAGGAGCGAAAAUGGACAUCCCGCAGCUUCCCAGCGCACGYAUUUUCCUUUGUCAGGAAACGUGGCUUUUGCUGAUCCUGAUGGAAGUUGUGCUGUCAGCCGUCAAAGUGGACGCCGGUGGAAAGAAAUACACAGGACCAUGUGGAGGCAGAGACUGCAGUGGAGGAUGUCAGUGUUUCCCUGAAAAAGGAAGCCGUGGCCAGCCAGGACUCCUUGGAGCACAGGGAUUCACUGGACCACCAGGAUUGAUGGGGAUACCAGGAGUGCAAGGUCCCAAAGGUCACAAAGGUGAAAGAGGACACCCAGGAAUAACUGGACCGAAAGGAGAAGUGGGACAAAGAGGAGUCACUGGAUUCCCCGGGGCAGAUGGCAUUCCUGGUCAUCCAGGCCAGCCAGGACCAAGGGGGAAACCAGGUCAUGAUGGCUGUAAUGGGACAGCAGGUGACCCUGGUGACUCGGGAACUCCUGGAUUCUCUGGUUUCCCUGGUAGCAUUGUAAGUAAAAUUGUUUUGAACUUCUUCCCUGGUUUUGUUUCAGGGGAUGGGGAUAAGCCUGGCUUACCUGGAGAAAUGGGACCAAAAGGUGAAAAGGGUGAAAUAGGAUCUCCUGCUUAUUUUGCGGGACCCCCUGGGCUUCCGGGUAAGGAUGGCUCGCCAGGACUUCGCGGUCCGCCUGGUCCCGUUGGAGCCCCUGGUAAGUGCAUAAAAACGAGAGCUGGAUUUCCUGGACGGAAAGGAGAAAAGGGAGACUCUUUACACAUAACUACGAAAGGUAGAGUGAGAAUUCUUAUCACCUGUAUUUUCCUAUUAUUUAUAGUACUAAUGAAAGAUUGGUCUCACAAUGGAAGUUCUUCUUUAGGCACCAAAGGAAUCCGAGGAGAUCCCGGGCUGCCUGGAAUCAGAGGUGAAGAUGGUUUCCCAGGCAGAGAUGGAUUAGAUGGUUUACCAGGUCAGCCUGGCCUUCCGGGUGAUGCUAUCAGAGGUUUCCCUGGUGAUCCUGGUUAUCCAGGUGAAUUAGGCCCAAAGGGCUUUCCAGGAGAAGCAGGCCUGCCAGGUGAAGGAUUUCCUGGUCCAAAAGGGUUCCGRGGUCCUCCAGGUGAUCAAGGACAAGCUGGAAUCCCAGGAUCUCCAGGUCUGCCUGGUCUGCCAGGAGAGCCUGGCCAACUAGGUAAGAGACACCACUCUGUCUUACAUCAGAGCCAUGGGAGAUCAGCACUGAGUUGUGUGCAGCCACCAAAGGGAUCCCAAGGAAAGCCAGGAGUGCCAGGAGCCACAGGUGCAAAAGGUGCAAGAGGAUUCCCAGGUGAUCCAGGUCCAAUGGGUUACCCAGGGCUAAAUGGUACACGAGGCGAUCCAGGUCGGGAAGGAUUCCCAGGUCCUCCAGGUUUUACUGGACCCAGGGGAGACAGAGGCCCAAAUGGUCUACCUGGACUGCAGGGACACCCAGGCCUUACAGGAAAAUCCGGAGCUCCCGGAGCACCAGGACCGAAGGGCCUUCCUGGUGACGUGUUUGGAGCAGCAGCAGGUUCCCGAGGCGAUGUCGGCCUCCCCGGCUUCCCAGGGCAGAAAGGUGCACCAGGAGAUCAAGGAGUUCCAGGAACUAGAGGAUUGGAUGGUGGCCCAGGUUUGCCAGGACCCAAAGGAGAUCCAGGACCACAAGGUCUCCCUGGUUUGAUGGGAUUACCAGGAACGCCAGGAACACAUGGAUUCCCAGGUCCACCAGGAAACCGUGGGCCAGAUGGUGGGCCUGGCUCUCAAGGACCUCUCGGUCCACCUGGUGCUAGGGGAGAAGAUGGUGAGCAAGGUUUUCCUGGCCCCGUGGGCCUGAAGGGUCUGUCUGGUGACAAAGGUGACAUGGGUCACACGGGAUUACCGGGUAUACGUGGUGUGACUGGUCCYCCUGGCAUAAGAGGAAUGGAUGGCUUUCCAGGAGACAAAGGCUUAAAAGGUUCACCCGGCGUUGAUGGUUUCAAAGGCAUGACAGGCCUGAAAGGAAGACCAGGCAUGAAGGGAAUCAAAGGAGAAUUUGGCCCACUUGGGGCUCGGGGAGAUAAAGGCCCCCCAGGAGAACCUCCAAAGCUCAUGCCCAGCAUGAUGAUGGAAGUUAAAGGUGAAAAAGGAGAUGUUGGAGAAAGGGGCACAAAGGGAUUCUUUGGCUUAAAAGGUAGCAAGGGAAUGCCAGGCCUUCCUGGAAAGACAGGAACCCCAGGGUCCCCUGGGCAUCCCAGCUACGUGGCUGGUGUAAAAGGAGACAUCGGUGCAAAAGGGCUGACAGGUGUGAAAGGGUAUCCUGGUCCUGCUGGCUCUCCUGGCAUCAGAGGCUUCCCUGGCACCACAGGAAUCAGAGUGAGUCCAUGCUAUCCAGGACCACAGGGGCAGCCGGGAAUACCUGCUCCACCAGGGAGCAAAGGAGAAAGUGGACAAAUAGGUAGGGCUGGAGAAAUUGGCCCAAAAGGAACUAGAGGUGACCCUGGAUCAUCAGGAACACCUGGUCUCCCUGGAUUCCCUGGACCAAAAGGUCCUAAGGGUGAACAAGGUGUCAUUGGCUUUAUGGGCACAGUAGGAUUUCCAGGUAAUCUGGGACCUAUCGGACAAAAGGGAGACAGAGGAGUAACUGGUAAGUGUGUGUUCUCAGAUGUGACUCCCUUUGAAACCACUCAUUCUGCAGCUCCACAGAGUUUCAGAGGCUCACCUGGAGAGCCAGGACUCCAGGGCAGGGGUGGCAUUCCAGCUCCUCCUGGCUCCAGAGGGGAACAAGGAGGAAUGGGAUUUCAGGGUCCGGUGGGAUUCGAAGGCCAGCCGGGGCGCCCCGGCAGCCCUGGCCCCCCAGGCAUGCCGGGCCGCAGUGUCAGCAUGGGAUACCUGCUGGUGAAGCACAGCCAGUCCGACCAGGAGCCCAUGUGCCCAGUUGGCAUGAACAAACUCUGGAGUGGAUACAGUCUGCUGUAUUUUGAAGGACAAGAGAAAGCACACAACCAGGAUCUAGGGCUGGCUGGCUCAUGUUUGUCUCGUUUUAGCACCAUGCCAUUCCUCUACUGUAACCCUGGGGAUAUUUGUUAUUAUGCAAGUCGAAAUGAUAAAUCCUACUGGCUCUCAACUACAGCACCUCUUCCAAUGAUGCCCGUGGCAGAAGAAGACAUUAAGCCAUAUAUCAGUCGCUGCUCAGUUUGUGAGGCCCCAGCUGUGGCAAUUGCUGUCCACAGCCAAGAAGCUUCUAUUCCUCACUGCCCUGAAGGCUGGCGCAGUUUGUGGAUUGGAUACUCCUUCCUUAUGCACACUGCUGCUGGUGAUGAAGGUGGAGGACAGUCGCUGGUUUCUCCUGGGAGCUGCCUGGAGGAUUUCAGGGCGACUCCUUUCAUUGAAUGCAAUGGUGCCCGCGGAACCUGUCACUACUUUGCAAAUAAAUACAGCUUCUGGCUCACCACCAUCGACCAACCCUUCCAAAGCAAACCCUCGGGAGACACACUCAAGGCAGGACUCAUCCGAAGCCAUAUCAGCAGAUGUCAAGUCUGUAUGAAAAACCUAUAGAAGUCUCUCACAGUAUAAGGAACCGUCUUAUCACGUAGUUCUUAUACACAGGAGCCUUCUGUGGUGGUUAGACAACUGAAUAAAUCAUGUUGGUGCUUUUUUUAACUUAUUACC
ensembl:lncRNA